UCAAACUUGGCAAAAACUUCGAUUUUCGAAGAAUGCCAUGACAUCGAUUCAUCAACCGUUUCAAACGUCAAAAUACCAUCCACUGCCAUGACCGAUCGCGUCCCCGUGGUGCCGCACCUUCGCUCAACGGACCUCAUCCAGCCGCUUCGCGAGACCCAACCGGACACGGUCCACUUCAAGGGAACGUUCCCGUUGCGUCGCUUCAAGUCCAACCCGGAUCUGGUGGCACUGCGGGUCGUCGAGCAGAACCGCUACGACCGAAUUCCUUCGCCUCCGGUUUGCGGGCUGGACGUGCACCGGAUGCACCGGAAGUUGGAACGGAUCAAUCCCCCGCGGGACAGGAGAGUCGGUAAGAGAAAACGAGGCUGUAUAAUCGUCCGAGCUCGAUGGAAUUGCCGAAUAGUACUGAGAAGACCAAAUGUGAUGCGGAAACUGAUGUCAAAGAGUUCGGUCAGCUGUGCCAGGAGUUCUCCAACCAAGUGUCCCUGCUAAAGUGAUUCAAAUCCAAACGGUCCUUCACCCAAUUAAACAGUAGAAGAUGUAACAGUUGAUAGUCCUCGAAUAACUCUCAAUGAUCCCCGCUUUGUUCCCAAAACUGUUACACUGUCAAAGCACCAUAUCCCGAUAACGGCCAACUCCUGUUUGAUGCCCUUCCAUCGGCCAACAAUCGGCUAUCAUAACUCAAGUGCACUCGUCGGAACAAUUAUUCCUGCACCCGGAUAAUCGCUCUAUCAUCGUUGAAAUCAUUCACGCUUUAUUAACGUGUAACGCGUCGUACAGGGAAGAGUCGCUGGUUUGACAACGGGCAUCAGUAAUGAAGAGUAAUUUUA